CUGACAGAACCCACUGUUCUCAGCCUCCAAAGAAAAUGAACCCACAGCUUCAGCAGGAGGGUAGUUUAACACCUGAAACCAUGAAUCACUUGAUUACUCAGUAAUUCUUCCCAAUUUUGCUUCCAAACUGCAUAGUCUGUCACGGCUGCACAUACUUGGUUUCCGAGAAUAACGCUGUAAAUGAGGACAGCUACCACUGGGAAUGCAUUCCCCCACCAAAGAGCCAGCCGAAAUGAAGCUUCUAGUGGAUCCCUGGGCUUCUCACCUUCACAGCCUCAGAGAAGUGCCUUUCACAGAACAGGCAGGUUCACAAAAUAAUUUAAAUGAAAACUGAGCAAGAAAAAACUGAGCAUGAGAUGCUAAAGUCUUAAUCAUUAUGGAUGAAGGGGAAAAAACACUUCUGAAGGAAAAGCACUGGAGUUGUCUGAAGUCUACACAAUAGAUUAAAACACCAUAAUCUUAAACCCAGGCUCAGCUCCUGCAUCAUAUACUAUUUAUUAAAUACCGAUGAUAUUGCAUGAAAGAAUUGAGUAUCUUAAAGAGAUUGUUCCUGCACCGAAAAAGUCACUUUGGGAUUUAGACAAACUAUCAAAUUUGAGCUUUAUUCCUUCAUUUGUAAAAGCAGUUCUAUGUAAUGUGCACAGGAAGAAUUUCAGGGAUUGUAAAAUAUA